rnacentral:rRNA from 1 species
AUUGAACGCUGGCGGCAUGCCUUACACAUGCAAGUCGAACGGCAGCACGGGAGCUUGCUCCUGGUGGCGAGUGGCGAACGGGCGAGUAAUACAUCGGAACGUACCCUGAAGUGGGGGAUAACGUAGCGAAAGUUACGCUAAUACCGCAUAUUCUGUGAGCAGGAAAGAGGGGGAUCGCAAGACCUCUUGCUUUAGGAGCGGCCGAUGUCGGAUUAGCUAGUUGGUGAGGUAAAGGCUCACCAAGGCGACGAUCCGUAGCGGGUCUGAGAGGAUGAUCCGCCACACUGGGACUGAGACACGGCCCAGACUCCUACGGGAGGCAGCAGUGGGGAAUUUUGGACAAUGGGCGCAAGCCUGAUCCAGCCAUGCCGCGUGAGUGAAGAAGGCCUCGGGUUGUAAAGCUCUUCGGUGGGAAGAAUUGCUUCGGUUAAUACCUGGAGUAGAUGACGGUA